GCGCAGUUGGCGCAAUGGAUAGCGCAUAGUCCUCCUAUUUACCAAGAUUCAGGGCUUUUCUCCAACGAGAUUUGUCUCUUUGGUUAUAUAGUGAAAGACUGGGGUUGCGGGUUCGAGUCCCGUGCUGCGUG